ensembl:lncRNA
AUCACAACAGAAAACUACUUCGGAAGAAGAAGCCGCUCUCACUGAGAACUUUGGCCACCAAAGCUUGUGACUGCCUCAUCGUUCUCCUCUCAGAGAUCUGGGGUCGCGAAAGUCACCGGUUACGUUGACUUUAUCAACCCCAAACAGCGUGAUGAAAUAGAAAAACGUUGUCUGCCGCCUGAAGACCAGUUGACCUGGGCCGAAUAAUACCGGGGAUGGAGGGAACCAGCUUUUCUGGCCGUUCCGAUGUUUGCUCUGGCCACGGAGAAGAGGCCGGGACACCAAAUCCUCAACCAGCAGGCAACGAGCUAACACUGGAAGUAAAGAAGAAGUCAUCCCUCUGAAAAUCGGUUUGUUGUCUGCUGGCCCUCAUGUGAAUGGAGACUCUGUUGGAGGAGACAGCUGAUUUCAGAACACAUGGCCUGCAGACAAUCCUCUUUUAACUGUGAAGAAAGGGUUUGCCUUGUGGUACUAAAAAGCCUGACUACAUGUGACAGUGUUUCUGUAUAGUGGUCCAUAUUCCAUGUUCUGAAGAUAUAUUUAGCUAGUCAAAUAGUUUCAGACGGUGAAACAUACUUUUACUGUUUAUGAUUGGGGCUGAUUCAAGUAACUAUUUUUUAUAUGAACUAUAUUACAUUAUUUUACACCACUUUGAGGCCUAGAGAGAGAUUUGUCUGAUCCAUGUUAAAACCCUCAGUAUGGCUAGUGUUAAGCAGAAGUAGUCCUACCCCAUCAACAUGAUGCACAGUUACAUACGGGGCUGAAUGGUCAAUUGCUCAUUGUGUGUCAUUUGGAAUUUACAUCACCAAAGCACAACACCAACAUAAUCAUAAAAAGCGUCUUAAGUAAGGUCCCGCUUUAUUAAUAGGGACCAAACACCUUAUUGUUUUCAAUGAAGCCAGUACUGUGAAUCCUUUUCAUGUUAAUUUAUUAGAAUUAAGUGCCUUAGAUGAGUGCUAAUGACGAACGCAUUAUCUGCAAUAGAAGUGGAUGAAACCACGUUUCACUUUGUACCUGUAUGUGUUCGCUAUUCAUUUGUAAAUAAAAGCAUAUAAA